rnacentral:misc_RNA from 1 species
AACCAUAGAAACCUGCGGAGUACCUGCGGAGGGAUCAUUACAGAGUUGCAAAACUCCCUAAACCAUUGUGAACGUUACCUAAACCGUUGCUUCGGCGGGCGGCCCGGGUCCUUCCCGGCGCCCCUCGGCCCUCGCGGGCGCCCGCCGGAGGUAAACCAAACUACUGCAUUGUAUGGCCUCUCUGAGUCUUCUGUACUGAAUAAGUCAAAACUUUCAACAAUGGAUCUCAGAUCGGAAGAG